GAUGAACGCUGGCGGCGUGCCUAAUACAUGCAAGUCGAGCGAACAGACGAGGAGCUUGCUCCUUUGACGUUAGCGGCGGACGGGUGAGUAACACGUGGGUAACCUACCUAUAAGACUGGGAUAACUUCGGGAAACCGGAGCUAAUACCGGAUAAUAUUUCGAACCGCAUGGUUCGAUAGUGAAAGAUGGCUUUGCUAUCACUUAUAGAUGGACCUGCGCCGUAUUAGCUAGUUGGUAAGGUAACGGCUUACCAAGGCAACGAUACGUAGCCGACCUGAGAGGAUGAUCGGCCACACUGGAACUGAGACACGGUCCAGACUCCUACGGGAGGCAGCAGUAGGGAAUCUUCCGCAAUGGGCGAAAGCCUGACGGAGCAACGCCGCGUGAGUGAUGAAGGUCUUCGGAUCGUAAAACUCUGUUAUUGGGGAAGAACAAACGUGUAAGUAACUGUGCACGUCUUGACGGUACCUAAUCAGAAAGCCACGGCUAACUACGUG
rnacentral:rRNA from 1 species